GACGAACGCUGGCGGCGUGCUUAACGCAUGCAAGUCGAACGGUGAAGGGACCAGCUUGCUGGUUCUGGAUGAGUGGCGAACGGGUGAGUAACACGUGAGUAACCUGCCCCCUUCUUCUGGAUAACCGCAUGAAAGUGUGGCUAAUACGGGAUAUUCUGGGUCUGUCGCAUGGCGGGCCCGGGAAAGAUAUUGCUUCGGUGGGGGAUGGGCUCGCGGCCUAUCAGCUUGUUGGUGGGGUGAUGGCCUACCAAGGCGGGGACGGGUAGCCGGCCUGAGAGGGUGGACGGUCACACUGGGACUGAGACACGGCCCAGACUCCUACGGGAGGCAGCAGUGGGGAAUAUUGCACAAUGGGCGCAAGCCUGAUGCAGCGACGCCGCGUGAGGGAUGGAGGCCUUCGGGUUGUAAACCUCUUUCGCCAGUGAAGCAGGCCUGCUCCUUGUGGGUGGGUUGACGGUAGCUGGAUAAGAAGCGCCGGCUAACUACGUG
rnacentral:rRNA from 1 species